GUGGGGUAACGGCCUACCAAGGCUAUGACGGGUAGCUGACGUGAGAGCGUGAGCAGCCACACUGGGACUGAGACACGGCCCAGACUCCUACGGGAGGCAGCAGCAGGGAAUAUUGCACAAUGGGCGAAAGCCUGAUGCAGCGACGCCGCGUGAGGGAUGAAUGCCUUCGGGUUGUAAACCUCUUUCAGGAGGGACGAAGCGAAAGUGACGGUACCUCCAGAAGAAGCCCCGGCCAACUACGUGCCAGCAGCCGCGGUAAUACGUAGGGGGCGAGCGUUGUCCGGAUUCAUUGGGCGUAAAGAGCUCGUAGGCGGCUCAGUAAGUCGGCCGUGAAAGCCCGGAGCUCAACUCCGGGACGCCGGUCGAUACUGCUGUGGCUAGGGUCCGGUAGAGGAGAGUGGAAUUCCCGGUGUAGCGGUGAAAUGCGCAGAUAUCGGGAGGAACACCAGUAGCGAAGGCGGCUCUCUGGGCCGGUACCGACGCUGAGGAGCGAAAGCUAGGGGAGCAAACAGGAUUAGAUACCCUGGUAGUCCACGCCGUAAACGAUGGGUACUAGGUGUUGGGAGGAUUGACCCUUUCAGUGCCGACGCUAACGCAUUAAGUA
rnacentral:rRNA from 1 species